GAGCGCAACAUAUAGCCAGCCUGGCUGGCGCUGAAUCCACCGACGGGUGUUCAGGUAACGGGGCCGCCUGAAGAGGGGGCCUUUUUACGUUAC
rnacentral:sRNA from 1 species